CCAUAAUAGUAUUAAUAGUCUAAGAAUUUUAUAAAAGAAAUUGCUUAUUAAAAAGUUAAGAAAGUUAACAGGUCACCGAACACCUCAGUCAUUACAUGUAGCCUAUAAGUAACACAAUGGAUGUUAGAAGUCGAAUAAAAAAAUUGGUUAACAACAAUAGAACAAAGUUUAUUGAUCAGAUGGAUGCGUUCUUUUUAUUGAAGGAUUUCCUGGACUUCAAGCUACUAAACGAGAGGAGUUAAGAUGCAAACUUCGGAAUUCUGGUAACACGAUAGCUAAUUCUUACCUUCUUGAUGCUAUUUUGAGAGUGAAUGACUUUUAUGGCAAAUUUAUCCAGUUCUGCACAAAACAUGAAGUGUGUUCAGAUCUUGUGAGGUUAAUUCAAGCUGAAAUGGGUACAGUUUCAUAAAAUUGUGUAUUUAACAAAUGUGAAAAGUAAACAAUUAUAAAGUGAGCUGUAUUUUUUGUUGUUUGUUUGUAGAAUCUGGUAGCUGCGGUUCUGUCAUUAUCUGAACA